GGUCACUGCUAUCAGUAUUCGAUUAAGCCAUGCGAGUCAAAUGUUUUUCGUAAACAUGGCGUACUGCUCAGUAACACGUGGAUAAUCUGCCCUAAGGUUAGGUAUAACUCCGGGAAACUGGUGAUAAUCCCUAAUAUACCAUAGAUACUGGAAUGUUCUGUGGUCAAAAGCUCCGGCGCCUUAGGAUGAAUCUGCGGCCUAUCAGGUUGUAGUGGGUGUAGUGUACCUACUAGCCGACGACGGGUACGGGUUGUGAGAGCAAGAGCCCGGAGAUGGAUUCUGAGACAUGAAUCCAGGCCCUACGGGGCGCAGCAGGCGCGAAAACUUUACAAUGCGGGAAACCGCGAUAAGGGGAUACUGAGUGCCAGCAUCUUAUGUUGGCUGUCCGCAUGUAUAAAUAGCAUGUGUUAGCAAGGGCCGGGCAAGACCGGUGCCAGCCGCCGCGGUAACACCGGCGGCCCGAGUGGUGGCCACUAUUAUUGGGUCUAAAGGGUCCGUAGCCGGUUUGAUCAGUCUUCCGGGAAAUCUGACAGCUCAACUGUUAGGCUUCCGGGGGAUACUGUCAGACUUGGGACCGGGAGAGGUAAGAGGUACUACAGGGGUAGGAGUGAAAUCUUGUAAUCCUUGUGGGACCACCAGUGGCGAAGGCGUCUUACCAGAACGGGUCCGACGGUGAGGGACGAAAGCUGGGGGCACGAACC
rnacentral:rRNA from 1 species